rnacentral:rRNA from 1 species
CUACGGGAUGCUCCAGUGAGGAAUAUUGCACAAUGGGGGGAACCCUGAUGCAGCAACGCCGCGUGGAGGAUGACGCAUUUCGGUGUGUAAACUCCUCUUAUAUGUCAAGAAAAUGACGGUAGCAUAUGAAUAAGCACCGGCUAACUCCGUGCCAGCAGCCGCGGUAAUACGGAGGGUGCAAGCGUUACUCGGAAUCACUGGGCGUAAAGGACGCGUAGGCGGGUUGGAAAGUCAGGUGUGAAAUCCUACAGCUUAACUGGAGAACUGCACUUGAAACUUCUAAUCUAGAGUAUGGGAGGGGGAGAUGGAAUUAGUGGUGUAGGGGUAAAAUCCGUAGAUAUCACUAGGAAUACCUAAAGCGAAGGCGAUCUCCUGGAACAUUACUGACGCUAAGGCGUGAAAGCGUGGGGAGCAAACAGGAUUAGAUACCCGGGUAGUC